rnacentral:tRNA from 1 species
UGAGGUGUUCUCCAGUGGCAACGAGAGCGGACUGUAAAUCCGCUGCCUUUUGGCUUUCGGGGGUUCGAGUCCCUCCACCUCAACAA